AUGAACGCUGGCGGCGUUGCCUAACACAUGCAAGUCGAGCGAAGAGUUGAAGCUUGCUUUAACUACUUAGCGGCGGACGGGUGAGUAACGCGUGGGUAACCUGCCCUGUACAGAGGAAUAACAGUUAGAAAUGACUGCUAAUGCCUCAUAAGCCGACGAAAUGGCAUCUUUUUGUCGGAAAAGAUUUAUCGGUACAGGAGGGACCCGCGUCUGAUUAGCUAGUUGGUGAGGUAACGGCCCACCAAGGCGACGAUCAGUAGCCGACCUGAGAGGGUGAUCGGCCACAUUGGAACUGAGACACGGUCCAAACUCCUACGGGAGGCAGCAGUGGGGAAUAUUGCACAAUGGGGGAAACCCUGAUGCAGCAACGCCGCGUGAAGGAAGAAGUAUUUCGGUAUGUAAACUUCUAUCGACAGGGAAGAAACAAAUGACGGUACCUGAAUAAGAAGCACCGGCUAAAUACCUGCCAGCAGCCGCGGUAAUACGUAUGGUGCAAGCGUUAUCCGGAUUUACUGGGUGUAAAGGGUGAGCAGGCGGUUAUGCAAGUCAUACGUGAAAUGUCGGGGCUUAACCCCGGCCUGCGUAAGAAACUGUAUAACUUGAGUGCAGGAGAGGCAAGCGGAAUUCCCAGUGUAGCGGUGAAAUGUCGUAAAUUAUUGGGGAAGAACACCCGGUGGCGAAAAGGCGGCUUGCUUGGACCUGUAACUUGACCGCUGAGUCACGAAAAGCGUGGGGAGCGAACAGGAUUAGAUACCCUGGUAGUCCACGCCGUAAAACGAUGAGUGCUAGGUGUUGGCGAGAGAUCGUCGGUGCCGCCAGCAAACGCAAUAAGCACUCCACCUGGGGAGUACGGCCGCAAGGCUGAAACUCAAAGGAAUUGACGGGGACCCGCACAAGCGGUGGAGCAUGUGGUUUAAUUCGAAGCAACGCGAAGAACCUUACCUAAACUUGACAUCCCGAUGAUCAUCUAUGUAAUGUAGACUUUUUUCGGAACAUCGGUGACAGGUGGUGCAUGGUUGUCGUCAGCUCGUGUCGUGAGAUGUUGGGUUAAGUCCCGCAACGAGCGCAACCCUUACUUUCAGUAGCCAUCAUUAAGUUGGGCACUCUGGAAGGACUGCCGUGGAUAACACGGAGGAAGGUGGGGAUGACGUCAAAUCAUCAUGCCCCUUAUGUUUAGGGCUACACACGUGCUACAAUGGCUGUUACAAAGUGAAGCGAACCUGCGAAGGUGAGCAAACCACAAAAAAGCAGCCCCAGUUCGGAUUGUAGUUUGCAACUUGAAUACAAGAAGUUGGAAUCGCUAGUAAUCGGGAAUCAGAAUGUCGCGGUGAAUACGUUCCCGGGUCUUGUACACCCCGCCCGUCACACCAUGGGAGUUGGAAGCGCCCGAAGUCUGUGACCUAACCGUAAGGAAGGAGCAGCCGAAGGUGAAGCCAGUGACUGGGGU
rnacentral:rRNA from 1 species